CCUACGGGGUGCAGCAGUGGGGAAUAUUGGACAAUGGGCGAAAGCCUGAUCCAGCCAUGCCGCGUGUGUGAAGAAGGCCUUCGGGUUGUAAAGCACUUUCAGUGGGGAAGAAAGCCUUGGGGCUAAUACCCUCGAGGAAGGACAUCACCCACAGAAGAAGCACCGGCUAACUCCGUGCCAGCAGCCGCGGUAAUACGGAGGGUGCGAGCGUUAAUCGGAAUUACUGGGCGUAAAGCGCGCGUAGGCGGUCUGAUAAGCCGGUUGUGAAAGCCCCGGGCUCAACCUGGGAACGGCAUCCGGAACUGUCAGGCUAGAGUGCAGGAGAGGAAGGUAGAAUUCCCGGUGUAGCGGUGAAUUGCGUAGAGAUCGGGAGGAAUACCAGUGGCGAAGGCGGCCUUCUGGACUGACACUGACGCUGAGGUGCGAAAGCGUGGGUAGCAAACAGGAUUAGAUACCCUUGUAGUC
rnacentral:rRNA from 1 species